CCGGGAUAUUAUUUUUGGGCGUCGGGGCGUGUUUUUUCGCACCCCAUAUGGCGCGCGAUCAGGCCCAACAGAAUGUUCGCGUCAGACGACGCGGCGGCGUGCCUAAUACAUGCAAGUCGAGCGGACAAGAUGGGAGCUUGCUCCUUGAUGUUAGCGGCGGACGGGUUGAAGUAACCACGUGGGUUAACCUGCCUGUUAAGACCUGGGAUAAACUCUCCGGGGAAAACCCGGGGGUUAUAUACCCGGAUUGGUUGUUUUGAAACCGCCACUGUGUUCGAGCACAUAAAAGGGUGGUUUGGGUUACCACAUUCACAAAUGGACCCGGGGGCGCAUAAGCUAGUUGGUGAGGUAACGGCUCACCAAGGCGACGAUGCGUAGCCGACCUGAGAGGGUGAUCGGCCACACUGGGACUGAGACACGGCCCAGACUCCUACGGGAGGCAGCAGUAGGGAAUCUUCCGCAAUGGACGAAAGUCUGACGGAGCAACGCCGCGUGAGUGAUGAAGGUUUUCGGAUCGUAAAGCUCUGUUGUUAGGGAAGAACAAGUGCCGUUCAAAUAGGGCGGCACCUUGACGGUACCUAACCAGAAAGCCACGGCUAACUACGUGCCAGCAGCCGCGGUAAUACGUAGGUGGCAAGCGUUGUCCGGAAUUAUUGGGCGUAAAGGGCUCGCAGGCGGUUUCUUAAGUCUGAUGUGAAAGCCCCCGGCUCAACCGGGGAGGGUCAUUGGAAACUGGGGAACUUGAGUGCAGAAGAGGAGAGUGGAAUUCCACGUGUAGCGGUGAAAUGCGUAGAGAUGUGGAGGAACACCAGUGGCGAAGGCGACUCUCUGGUCUGUAACUGACGCUGAGGAGCGAAAGCGUGGGGAGCGAACAGGAUUAGAUACCCUGGUAGUCCACGCCGUAAACGAUGAGUGCUAAGUGUUAGGGGGUUUCCGCCCCUUAGUGCUGCAGCUAACGCAUUAAGCACUCCGCCUGGGGAGUACGGUCGCAAGACUGAAACUCAAAGGAAUUGACGGGGGCCCGCACAAGCGGUGGAGCAUGUGGUUUAAUUCGAAGCAACGCGAAGAACCUUACCAGGUCUUGACAUCCUCUGACAAUCCUAGAGAUAGGACGUCCCCUUCGGGGGCAGAGUGACAGGUGGUGCAUGGUUGUCGUCAGCUCGUGUCGUGAGAUGUUGGGUUAAGUCCCGCAACGAGCGCAACCCUUGAUCUUAGUUGCCAGCAUUCAGUUGGGCACUCUAAGGUGACUGCCGGUGACAAACCGGAGGAAGGUGGGGAUGACGUCAAAUCAUCAUGCCCCUUAUGACCUGGGCUACACACGUGCUACAAUGGACAGAACAAAGGGCAGCGAAACCGCGAGGUUAAGCCAAUCCCACAAAUCUGUUCUCAGUUCGGAUCGCAGUCUGCAACUCGACUGCGUGAAGCUGGAAUCGCUAGUAAUCGCGGAUCAGCAUGCCGCGGUGAAUACGUUCCCGGGCCUUGUAC
rnacentral:rRNA from 1 species